GGGUAGUCGUAGCGAAAGCGAGUCUGAAUAGGGCGUUGUAGUGGCAGGAUCUAGACCCGAAGCGGAGUGAUCUAUCCAUGGCCAGGUUGAAGCGACGGUAAGACGUCGUGGAGGACCGAACCCACUUCAGUUGAAAAUGGAGGGGAUGAGCUGUGGGUAGGGGUGAAAGGCCAAUCAAACUGGGAAAUAGCUCGUACUCCCCGAAAUGCAUUUAGGUGCAGCGUUGAUUUAUAGUUUUAUAGAGGUAGAGCUACUGAUUGGAUGCGGGGGCUUCACCGCCUACCAAUUCCUGACAAACUCCGAAUGCUAUAAAAUGUUAAUCAGCAGUGAGGGCAUGGGUGCUAAGGUCCAUGUCCGAGAGGGAAAGAACCCAGACCAUCAGCUAAGGUCCCCAAAUGUAUGUUAAGUUGAAUAAACGAGGUUGAACUGCUUAGACAGCUAGGAUGUUGGCUUGGAAGCAGCCAUUCAUUUAAAGAGUGCGUAACAGCUCACUAGUCGAGCGGUUCGGCAUGGAUAAUAAUCGGGCAUAAACAUAUUACCGAAGCUAUGGACUUGAAAAAGUGGUAGGGGAGCAUUGUAGUGGCGUUGAAGGUGUGUUGUGAGGCAUGCUGGAGUAGCUACAAAAGAAAAUGUAGGCAUAAGUAACGAUAAUGCGGGCGAGAAACCCGCACUCCGAAAGACUAAGGUUUCCUCAGCUAUGCUAAUCAGCUGAGGGUUAGUCGGGGCCUAACGCGAACCCGAAAGGGGUAGUGGAUGGACAACAGGUUAAUAUUCCUGUACCUGCUCACACUAAAAGUGACGGAGGCGAAUAGUUAGUGCGCACAGACGGAAUUGUGCGUUGAAGGGAACAGUAAUGUCCUGAUAGUACACUAAGACUACGGUCGCGGUGAUAAUCUAGCGAAUCGACUUCCAAGAAAAGCGAGUGAAGCAGCCCGUACCCUAAACCGACACAGGUAGUUGGGAUGAGAAUUCUAAGGAGCUCGAGAGAUUCAUGGCUAAGGAACUAGGCAAAAUAGACCUGUAACUUCGGGAGAAAGGUCGCCACCCUUUGGGGUGGCCGCAGUGAAAAGGUCCAGGCGGCUGUUUAUCAAA
rnacentral:rRNA from 14 species